CUGCAGCCCUUAAACAGUACGGAGCCCUCAUUGAGAGAAGCCGGGUGUUCUCCCUGGCGGCGGUCAACAGGGCCAUAAAAUGCAGAACUAGACGUUCCUGGGGCCUACACCUCCUUCGCCGCUAAUGACUCUUAGUCUCUGGAAGCAUCUCCAAGCACAAAAGUAGGAUCAGGGGUUCCGUCUGGCGGAGGAGGGAGCAGUAAGAAAGCGACAGGUUCACCGUGUCAACUGCAUUGUGGAAGCGGAGCUCAAGGUCAAGAGUUAAUUUCCCCUGAAACAACAUUCCGUGAUUUUAGGAAAUGGAAUGUGCCCGAUAGCAUGUCUGUGAUCAGAGAGAAACAAUAAAUUGGUCCCUUCUGGAGA